UAGGGAAUCUUCCGCAAUGGACGAAAGUCUGACGGAGCAACGCCGCGUGAGUGAAGAAGGAUUUCGGUUCGUAAAACUCUGUUGUUAGGGAAGAAAAAAUGUAUAGUAACUAUAUACAAAAGAGACGGUACUUAACCAGAAAGGGACGGCUAACUACGUGCCAGCAGCCGCGGUAAUACGUAGGUCCCGAGCGUUGUCCGGAUUUAUUGGGCGUAAAGCGAGCGCAGGCGGUUAGAAAAGUCUGAAGUGAAAGGCAGUGGCUCAACCAUUGUAGGCGUUGGAAACUGUUUAACUUAAGUGCGGAAGGGGAGGGUGAAAUUCCGUGUGUAGCGGUGAAAUACGUAGAUAGAUGGAGGGACACCGGUGGCGAAAGCGGCUCUCUGGUCUGUAACUGACGCUGAGGCUCGAAAACGUGGGGAGCGAACAGG
rnacentral:rRNA from 1 species